GACGAACGCUGGCGGCGUGCUUAACACAUGCAAGUCGAACGGAAAGGCCCUGCUUUUGUGGGGUGCUCGAGUGGCGAACGGGUGAGUAACACGUGAGUAACCUGCCCUUGACUUUGGGAUAACUUCAGGAAACUGGGGCUAAUACCGGAUAGGAGCUCCUGCUGCAUGGUGGGGGUUGGAAAGUUUCGGCGGUUGGGGAUGGACUCGCGGCUUAUCAGCUUGUUGGUGGGGUAGUGGCUUACCAAGGCUUUGACGGGUAGCCGGCCUGAGAGGGUGACCGGCCAAAUUGGGACUGAGAUACGGCCCAGACUCCUACGGGAGGCAGCAGUGGGGAAUAUUGCACAAUGGGCGGAAGCCUGAUGCAGCAACGCCGCGUGCGGGAUGACGGCCUUCGGGUUGUAAACCGCUUUCGCCUGUGACGAAGCGUGAGUGACGGUAAUGGGUAAAGAAGCACCGGCUAACUACGUG
rnacentral:rRNA from 1 species